AUUGAACGCUGGCGGCAGGCUUAACACAUGCAAGUCGAGCGGGGGAAGGUAGCUUGCUACCGGACCUAGCGGCGGACGGGUGAGUAAUGCUUAGGAAUCUGCCUAUUAGUGGGGGACAACAUCUCGAAAGGGAUGCUAAUACCGCAUACGUCCUACGGGAGAAAGCAGGGGAUCUUCGGACCUUGCGCUAAUAGAUGAGCCUAAGUCGGAUUAGCUAGUUGGUGGGGUAAAGGCCUACCAAGGCGACGAUCUGUAGCGGGUCUGAGAGGAUGAUCCGCCACACUGGGACUGAGACACGGCCCAGGCUCCCACGGGAGGCAGCAGUGGGGAAUAUUGGACGAUGGGGGGAACCCUGAUCCAGCCAUGCCGCGUGUGUGAAGAAGGCCUUAUGGUUGUAAAGCACUUUAAGCGAGGAGGAGGCUACUUUAGUUAAUACCUAGAGAUAGUGGACGUUACUCGCAGAAUAAGCACCGGCUAACUCUGUGCCAGCCGCCGCCGUAA
rnacentral:rRNA from 1 species